CAGUGGUUCGACAUCCGCUUCUGCCUUUCUUUUACACUAUAAUUACCUGAAGAAACAUUUGGUAUCCUCUUUAAUAUUACCGGCUAGCUCACUGAAGUGUUCCAUCUUUUCCUUCUUAAUUAUUUUAGUUGCAUUCUGUUGGUUUUUAAAAUCUUCUCAAUCCUUCAACAUACUAGUGAUUUUUGCUCUAUGCCCUCUCUUUGGUUUUUCUUAACAGCCACGGUUUUGUCACCUUAGCUUUAAAAUUCUACUUCCUCUUUGUGAUGCAUAGAAAUUUGAGGGGCGAAGAACAUCUCAGGCAGAACUGCAGUCAGCUCGACUUCUUCAGUCUGCAGGAAAUUCAAGGGGAACCUCUUCACCCACAGAGUGGUGACUGUUUGGAACUCAUUCACAUGGACAGUGAGAGGUGAACAACAGGGGAGGAUUUGAAAGAUCUGCUGUGGAACAGAAUCACUGGCAAGGUCCAGCCGGCCUGAGGUCUAGUCCCAUUAAAGGUGACUAUGCAGCAGAAGAAACUCCUCACAUGCCUGGUGAGCAGCAGCAAUAAUUGCAGAGUUCAGCACCGACACUCACUCUCGAAUUUGCAUUCAGCAACGCUGAUGAAUAAAUAUUCAGCAUGCAGCUCAUUGAAACGUUCUCCCAGUGUGAACCGGUAGUGUGUGAGGAGGACAAGACCAGAACAUAUGUGUCAAGGAAGCUACCUCGGAAUUACAUCCAUCAGAAAACAGGAUUUAAUGGCAGUAAAAAUGAGCAAACUUAUCCUUGGACAUAUGAGCCCGAUGAACCACCUUAAAUUGCAUGAAGGCAUGUCUGACACACACUGAAGAGGUAUUUUCUAGUUCAAGAAUUUUCUCCCAUUUCUGUACAGGUAAAGGUAUCCCAAGUUCUCUUUUCCACUCAUUCUUAAUUUUAUCAGAAGUAUCCAAGUGUAUUUUCAUAAUUAAAUCAUAAAUAAAUGAUAAUAAACUCUUCUGAUGUGGAUUUGAACUUUUUUCCCCCGUAACUUCAAUUUGAUGUGAUAUCGGAACAGAAGGUAAAAUAACAUUCAAAAAGUUUCUAAUCUGUAAAUAUCAGAAAAAGUGUGAUCUAGGCGAAUUAUAUAUAUUAGAAAGUUGUUCAAAAGAAAUAAAACAAUCAUCCAUAAAUAAGUCACGAAAACAUAAUUUUCCCUUUGUUUGCAAUAAAAGAAAAGCUUGAUCAAUUUAAAUGGUUGAAAGAAAAAAAAAUAGAUAUAAUAGAACUUGACAGUAUAUAUUUAUUUGGUCCAAAAACGUACCAAAAUUGAAACCAUAUUCCUAUUGUAUGCUUAAUUAUUGUAAUUACCAUUUGCUUAUUAAAUUUAGUAAGUGCAAAGGGAACCACAGCCCCUAACAUAGAAGCCAAUGAAAACUCCUGUCGAGACUCACGCUCAAGGUUCAUCCAACUCUUGUGUCCAAAACAUUAAAUAUCGAAUAUUAAUUGCCCGAUAAUAAAAACUAUGAUCCGGCAAAACCAAGCCGCCUUCCUUUUUUGAUUUCUGUAACUAUUUCUAAUUUAACCUGGGAUUUCUAUUCUGCCAUCCAUAUGCAGAAAUUUUAGAAUCAAUAAUAUUAAAAAAAUGUUAGAGAUAAAAAUUGAUACUGCCUGAAAUAGGUACUGAAAUUUAGGUAAAAUAAUCAUCUUAAUAGCAUUAAUGGAACCAAUCAAGGAUAAGGACAAUGGGGACCAUUUAGUAAACAAUUGUUUAGCCUGAUCAAUUAAGGGUAAACAUUAACUUUAAAUAAAUCGUUGUGCUUCUUAGUAAUUUUAACACCCAAAUAAAUAAAAUAAUCAGCAAGCAAUCUAAAUGGUAACUGUCUGUAAAUUGAGACUUGCCUAUUUAAUGGGGAAAGCACUUUUAUUAAGAUUCAGUUUAUAAGCAGAAAAACUACUAAACUGUGCAAGAUGUGUUAUUACUGCAGGAAUGGAUUACUCUGGAUUAGAAAUAUCUAGCGACAGGUUAUCUGCAUAUUGUGAUACUUUACGCGUCCCAUUCCCAUGAGUAACACCAAAUAUAUUGGGUGAAUCACGAAUAGCAAUUGCCAAGGGCUCCAGGCCAAUAUCUGAUAGUAAGGGACAGCCUUGUCUAGUACCUUGGAAAAGCCUAAAGAAAGGGGAUCUCUGAUUAUUAGUGAAACAGACGCCAAAGGUAUAUGUUAUAUCAAUUGUAUCCAAGAUAUAAAUUUUGGGCUAAAAGUAAAUUUCUCUAGUAUUUUAAACAAAUAUUCCCAUUCAAAUGUAUCAAACGCCGUCUCGGCAUCGACCGAGAUAACACAUUCUGGUGUCUUAGAUAAAGUCAUGUAUACAA